rnacentral:rRNA from 1 species
UCAAGUGAAUAAGUGCAUCAGGCGGAUGCCUUGGCGAUGAUAGGCGACGAAGGACGUGUAAGCCUGCGAAAAGCGCGGGGGAGCUGGCAAUAAAGCUAUGAUUCCGCGAUGUCCGAAUGGGGAAACCCACUGCAUUCUGUGCAGUAUCCUAAGUUGAAUACAUAGGCUUAGAGAAGCGAACCCGGAGAACUGAACCAUCUAAGUACCCGGAGGAAAAGAAAUCAACCGAGAUUCCGCAAGUAGUGGCGAGCGAACGCGGAGGAGCCUGUACGUAAUAACUGUCGAGAUAGAAGAACAAGCUGGGAAGCUUGACCAUAGCGGGUGACAGUCCCGUAUUCGAAAUCUCAACAGCGGUACUAAGCGUACGAAAAGUAGGGCGGGACACGUGAAAUCCUGUCUGAAUAUGGGGGGACCAUCCUCCAAGGCUAAAUACUCAUCAUCGACCGAUAGUGAACCAGUACCGUGAGGGAAAGGCGAAAAGAACCCCGGGAGGGGAGUGAAACAGAACCUGAAACCUGAUGCAUACAAACAGUGGGAGCGCCCUAGUGGUGUGACUGCGUACCUUUUGUAUAAUGGGUCAACGACUUACAUUCAGUAGCGAGCUUAACCGGAUAGGGGAGGCGUAGGGAAACCGAGUCUUAAUAGGGCGAUGAGUUGCUGGGUGUAGACCCGAAACCGAGUGAUCUAUCCAUGGUCAGGUUGAAGGUGCCGUAACAGGUACUGGAGGACCGAACCCACGCAUGUUGCAAAAUGCGGGGAUGAGCUGUGGGUAGGGGUGAAAGGCUAAACAAACUCGGAGAUAGCUGGUUCUCCCCGAAAACUAUUUAGGUAGUGCCUCGAGCAAGACACUGAUGGGGGUAAAGCACUGUUAUGGCUAGGGGGUUAUUGCAACUUACCAACCCAUGGCAAACUCAGAAUACCAUCAAGUGGUUCCUCGGGAGACAGACAGCGGGUGCUAACGUCCGUUGUCAAGAGGGAAACAACCCAGACCGCCGGCUAAGGUCCCAAAUGAUAGAUUAAGUGGUAAACGAAGUGGGAAGGCACAGACAGCCAGGAUGUUGGCUUAGAAGCAGCCAUCAUUUAAAGAAAGCGUAAUAGCUCACUGGUCGAGUCGUCCUGCGCGGAAGAUGUAACGGGGCUCAAAUCUAUAACCGAAGCUGCGGAUGCCGGUUUACCGGCAUGGUAGGGGAGCGUUCUGUAGGCUGAUGAAGGUGCAUUGUAAAGUGUGCUGGAGGUAUCAGAAGUGCGAAUGUUGACAUGAGUAGCGAUAAAGCGGGUGAAAAGCCCGCUCGCCGAAAGCCCAAGGUUUCCUACGCAACGUUCAUCGGCGUAGGGUAAGUCGGCCCCUAAGGCGAGGCAGAAAUGCGUAGUCGAUGGGAAACAGGUUAAUAUUCCUGUACUUGAUUCAAAUGCGAUGUGGGGACGGAGAAGGUUAGGUUGGCAAGCUGUUGGAAUAGCUUGUUUAAGCCGGUAGGUGGAAGACUUAGGCAAAUCCGGGUUUUCUUAACACCGAGAAGUGAUGACGAGUGUCUACGGACACGAAGCAACCGAUACCACGCUUCCAGGAAAAGCCACUAAGCUUCAGUUUGAAUCGAACCGUACCGCAAACCGACACAGGUGGGCAGGAUGAGAAUUCUAAGGCGCUUGAGAGAACUCGGGAGAAGGAACUCGGCAAAUUGAUACCGUAACUUCGGGAGAAGGUAUGCCCUCUAAGGUUAAGGACUUGCUCCGUAAGCCCCGGAGGGUCGCAGAGAAUAGGUGGCUGCGACUGUUUAUUAAAAACACAGCACUCUGCCAACACGAAAGUGGACGUAUAGGGUGUGACGCCUGCCCGGUGCCGGAAGGUUAAUUGAAGAUGUGCAAGCAUCGGAUCGAAGCCCCGGUAAACGGCGGCCGUAACUAUAACGGUCCUAAGGUAGCGAAAUUCCUUGUCGGGUAAGUUCCGACCCGCACGAAUGGCGUAACGAUGGCCACACUGUCUCCUCCCGAGACUCAGCGAAGUUGAAGUGGUUGUGAAGAUGCAAUCUACCCGCUGCUAGACGGAAAGACCCCGUGAACCUUUACUGUAGCUUUGCAUUGGACUUUGAAGUCACUUGUGUAGGAUAGGUGGGAGGCUUGGAAGCAGAGACGCCAGUCUCUGUGGAGUCGUCCUUGAAAUACCACCCUGGUGUCUUUGAGGUUCUAACCCAGACCCGUCAUCCGGGUCGGGGACCGUGCAUGGUAGGCAGUUUGACUGGGGCGGUCUCCUCCCAAAGCGUAACGGAGGAGUUCGAAGGUUACCUAGGUCCGGUCGGAAAUCGGACUGAUAGUGCAAUGGCAAAAGGUAGCUUAACUGCGAGACCGACAAGUCGGGCAGGUGCGAAAGCAGGACAUAGUGAUCCGGUGGUUCUGUAUGGAAGGGCCAUCGCUCAACGGAUAAAAGGUACUCCGGGGAUAACAGGCUGAUUCCGCCCAAGAGUUCAUAUCGACGGCGGAGUUUGGCACCUCGAUGUCGGCUCAUCACAUCCUGGGGCUGUAGUCGGUCCCAAGGGUAUGGCUGUUCGCCAUUUAAAGUGGUACGUGAGCUGGGUUUAAAACGUCGUGAGACAGUUUGGUCCCUAUCUGCAGUGGGCGUUGGAAGUUUGACGGGGGCUGCUCCUAGUACGAGAGGACCGGAGUGGACGAACCUCUGGUGUACCGGUUGUAACGCCAGUUGCAUAGCCGGGUAGCUAAGUUCGGAAGAGAUAAGCGCUGAAAGCAUCUAAGCGCGAAACUCGCCUGAAGAUGAGACUUCCCUUGCGGUUUAACCGCACUAAAGGGUCGUUCGAGACCAGGACGUUGAUAGGUGGGGUGUGGAAGCGCGGUAACGCGUGAAGCUAACCCAUACUAAUUGCCCGUGAGGCUUGACUC